CGUCCAGGUCUGUAUGUGAGGAUUGCAUAGGAUCUAGCGUUACUACAUGUGCGGUAUCAUAUUCAAGGACAUGUAUAGAAGGGACAGUCAUACGCCGAGUAGAAGAUGGAACAGAUUUGGAAGUAGACUCAAAAUGAGAUAUGUUAGAGUGAUGGAGAUCUAUCACGGAACUGUUUAUCCCAGUAUGCAAUAGCGUGGUACAAUUGUUGAAACAUUGGAGUUGGCGAAGGGCAAACACUUUCAGGAUUGUUUGUCGUACAAGGUGUAAGUGGUUGAGGACACGACAACAAACGCCUUUGAAGUAUUGUAGGAGAACGCGGUGCAUAAUUAGAUAAGCAUACUGUGGAUAUCAAAAGCAAGUAUUUAAGGUGACAAAUGUCAGGAAGGGGGCAAUAAUAAUAUUGUAAUUAAUAUCAAUAGCAUUCAAGAACAGAACUUAGCUAAGUAGUUUUGUAACUCUAUUAAGGUUGAUAAUAGAGAAGAAUUUAAUAUUUUACUUAUUCAAUGUGAAAAUCAUCUCAUCUCUCACACCAACUGUUAUUUUAUAUAGCUUACCAUGCUCGUCAAAAUGUUUUUCAUAAUCUGCUUCACUCCAUUGAGUUUCAUGGGUAGUAGUAGUAUCAUGUGGCAAAGCACGUGGUAAUGCACUUGUCGAACGUACUAUUAACGAGGAACAACGCAAGGAUAGUUCAAGUGCAUCUAACCAACAUUUACCAGCAGCCUGCGAAGGAGCUCUAAAGAUCAAGUAAGAUGUUGGCAAUGGUUGUACAACAGCACCUAAAAAUAUUGCUCGUAUAAGGAUAUAUUUCUUACUUAAUUCACAAAGAAUUUAUUAUUUACCAAUGGAUUCUUUUUCUGGGCCUCUUGGAGCCCAUAUCGAUUGUUCUAAAGGAUGAAAUAAUUUAAAACAAAAUCCAUCCUUUUUGCUUGGACGCUCUAUCACUUGACAUGUAUUAAGCAAAACCGUUCCCACCCAAUGAUUGCUCUGCAAUAAUUAUGUGGACAUAACUUUGAAUGAAACAAACAAUUAUUAAGUUAAUAAUGGAUAUAGAUGAGCACUUUUGUUUUUGGGCUUUUGUACAGUAGUAGCAGGCCAGGUUUUAAAAUACACCACAGUUUUGUCCAACUUUUUAACGUUCCACGAACUUUCAGCCAAUCGCUCAUAACAAUGACAGUUGGAUCCUUAAAUGAACUUAAGAGUUCAUUGGCAACUCUCUUCUUCUCCAUUCGAUAAUUUUUUCUCUGAGCCUUGUAGGAUUCUUUUCUUGUUAAUUUACAGGAAUCUAAAGACUACAAAAUAGAAUGGAAAAUAUGUUAUAAUUAGUAGUUCAAAAUAACAAGGUAAAUGGUUGAAAGUCAUAAAUUAUGUACCUUAUCAGAUGCAUUAUCUGUUUUUUGAUUAGUUUCACCCAUUGCAGUUAGUCCUAUAACACAAAUUAAUCAAACCAUUUGCUUGAGUAACAUUCAGGUAAAUAUUAUCAUCAUACAUAUUAGCAAAAUGGUAAUAUAACUCUGUUUAUUAGAAUGAUGUUAAUGAGAAACUUUA